rnacentral:misc_RNA from 1 species
UUUUUCAUAUGAAUCAUAUCCUUUUUGUAUUUAAAUUAUAAUGGAUGGAUGGUGUUUGUGAAAAAAUGUAAGGAUCCCAAGUUUUGCAUGCCCUCAUAGGAGUGACAAUUUGAUGUUAUUUAAGGAUAAAUAACUAAUCAAGCACAUCAGAUUGGAAUUCAGUGGUGAGAUAAGGAGAUUCCAAUCACAAGGCAAAUUAGUUUCCAUAACAAAUUACAUCCCAGCAUAUAAUCCAGUCACAUCCCAGCACAUAGUCCAGUCACAUCAAAGAGUGGCAGAGUCAUUAAC